UUGGUGAGGUAAAGGCUUACCAAGGCUACNAUCAGUAGCUGGUCUGAGAGGACGACCAGCCACACUGGGACUGAGACACGGCCCAGACUCCUACGGGAGGCAGCAGUGGGGAAUUUUGGACAAUGGGGGNAACCCUGAUCCACCCAUGCCGCGUGAGUGAAG
rnacentral:rRNA from 1 species